AGUCAGUGUACAGCCGGCCGCCGAACCGAAUGGUAGGGCGCACGAUGCACGCGCGGUGAACAAAACAAUCGCGAUGCUGUUCGAGAGUCCCAACGCGAAAUUGUUCCCGGCUUUCAACAUCCCGCCGCCCGUUAGGCUCAGGUAUUUUAAAUUCUGCAUUGAAAAUAUCUUUAAGAGCUGAUGCCUACAGCGGAAAACUUCUAGAGGUAGAAACUGUAGGUAGUCCAGCUUUUUGAUAGCUGACUCAAUCGUGAGAGUACAAAAUAAAAUAGAUACCAAGUAGCUUUUGUAGUCAACUACCCUGUUUUCCAACUCUAUCCGUUGUAUGAUAUUGUCCUAUUAGAGUUGGACACUCUAUAUAUUUGACCAGCGAAUUAUUUUGGAUACGUAAGUGCUGCAUGUAUUUAUCAUGGCGUGUAUGGUCGCUUAUGAUUAGCUUAAUCUGAUAAAAUCUGACUAGCUGAUAGGCGAAUAAAUUAGUAAAAUAU
rnacentral:misc_RNA from 1 species